CUAAAAACCCAACUGCAUCGAGAAGAGAAUUUUUUUUGCGUCUUUUAAUAUCCACGUUCUGUUACAUUUCAGUUCAUAAUUUGUGAGUCCGUCGAACAGUUAAGUAAUUUGUGGCGAUUUGCAAAGAGUUUCUUCUUUUUCAAGGCCUAAAAGCACUUGAACUUUUACAAUGGCGAAACUGUUAAUUUUAGCCACAAUAGUGGCUUUGGCCUUAGCGACUGAAGGUGUCCGGAUCGGUGAAAACUCACCACUUUCUGGUGUCUUCCCUAUCAUUGAUGACAACGAGUGCAAGGAGAUAAUUGAUGGUGCCAUCGCUCAAUUGAAACAUAUGGCUUAUAACAAUCCUAAGAGAUUCGCAGAUAUGUUUCAUUUGUGUGAGGAAUUCAAAGUCGCAGCCAAAAUUCCAAUUUUCUUCGAUACAUUGUUACAGGUUUUCUUGCUAAAGGCUAACUAUGACCGAUGCGCAGCAGUAGCAAUCUGUAGUGGACUUAGAAAUAACAAUCGGAACUACUGUGCUGGUGCAGCGAUCGCAGCCAUAUAUGUAGAUUUGGUGCAUCAACUUGGCGGUGGCACGGAAUGUAUCAACAUUAACAAUGUAAUCCAUUUAAUCUCUUUAAUUCCAGCAAUCAUUUUAUAAUUAAAAAAAUUAUUUGCAAUUAAUAAACCAGUAAAGUGUUCUGAACUUGUA